rnacentral:rRNA from 1 species
CCUACGGGAGGCAGCAGUGAGGAAUAUUGGUCAAUGGUCGGAAGACUGAACCAGCCAAGCCGCGUGCGGGAAGAAGGUACUGAGUGUUGUAAACCUCUUUUGUCCAAGAACAAAGGCGGAGACGCGUCCCCGGCUGAGAGUACUUGACGAAAAAGCAUCGGCUAACUCCGUGCCAGCAGCCGCGGUAAUACGGAGGAUGCAAGCGUUAUCCGGAUUUAUUGGGUUUAAAGGGUGCGUAGGCGGAAUAUUAAGUCAGCGGUAAAAGUUCGGAGCUAAACCCCGUCCUGCCGUUGAAACUGGUGAUCUAGAGUGGGCGUGAGGGAUGCGGAAUGCGUGGUGGAGCGGUGAAAU